UUUGAGGGGAAUGUUGUCUGGCUCGAGGCCGCGAACCGUAGAUCCGCCAAUUUUUCCUCUCCAAUUGGAUCAAUUGUUCUCUAGAUCGUCGCAUCGGUCACCGAUCUAGCGUUAGCGGCGUCGGACCAGGCUUCAUUCCCCCCAAU
rnacentral:pre_miRNA from 1 species